CCUACGGGAGGCAGCAGUGAGGAAUAUUGGUCAAUGGACGAGAGUCUGAACCAGCCAAGUAGCGUGAAGGAUGACUGCCCUAUGGGUUGUAAACUUCUUUUGUCAGGGAGCAAUUGGGUCCACGCGUGGGCUUAGCGAGAGUACCUGAAGAAAAAGCAUCGGCUAACUCCGUGCCAGCAGCCGCGGUAAUACGGAGGAUGCGAGCGUUAUCCGGAUUUAUUGGGUUUAAAGGGUGCGUAGGCGGAAUAUCAAGUCAGCGGUAAAAAUUCGGGGCUCAACCCCGUCGUGCCGUUGAAACUGAUGUUCUGGAGUGGGCGAGAAGUAGGCGGAAUGCGUGGUGUAGCGGUGAAAUGCAUAGAUAUAUGGAAGAACACCAGUGGCGAAAGCGGCUCUCUGGUCUGUAACUGACGCUGAGGUUCGAAAGCGUGGGUAGCAAACAGGAUUAGAUACCCUUGUAGUC
rnacentral:rRNA from 1 species